AAUAACUGCAAGUGAACUCUAAUUAAGACUUAUAAAAAAGAGUACAUAAAAGAAAGUUUGGCCACUGUUCACUGUUUCUGGACUUUCAUGCUAGUUUCAAAUACAUGAUAGAUUUCUAGAUAAGUUCAACAAAAUACACCUUCUACAGUUAAUGAAGAAAUAUUCUUUUCUCCUUUCUGUGUCAUGGUCAGGAAUUUCUGUAUGAAAAAAUAUCUGAGGAACUCGUGAGGUUUAAUAAUUAUUAUUUUUGGG